UCAAAAACAUGUCUUUUUGAUAAUAAUUUAAAGUCUAAUCUGCCCACUGAUAUAAAUUAUUAAAGGGCUGCAGUAUAUUGACUGUACAAAGGUAGCAUAAUCAUUAGUCUUUUAAUUGAAGACUUGUAUGAAAGAUUUGAUGAAAUAUAAACUGUCUCUAAUUUAUAUAUAAAAAUUAAUUUUUUAGUUAAAAAGCUAAAAUAAUAUUAAAAGACGAGAAGACCCUAUAAAGUUUUAUAAUUUAUUUAUUUAAUAUAAAAUAUAUAAUUAAAUAUAAUAAUUAAAUAAAUUAUUUUGUUGGGGUGAUAGAAAAAUUAAAUAAACUUUUUUUAAAAAUAAACAUAUAUAAGUGAAAAAAUGAUCCAUUAUUAAUGAUUAAAAGAAAAAAUUACUUUAGGGAUAACAGCGUAAUAUUUUUUUUUAGUACAUAUAAAAAAAAAAGUUUGCGACCUCGAUGUUGGAUUAAGAUAAAAUUUAAAUGCAAAAGUUUAAAAUUUUGAUCUGUUCGAUCAUUAAAAUCUUACAUGAUCUGAGCU
rnacentral:rRNA from 1 species